rnacentral:rRNA from 1 species
GACGAACGCUGGCGGCGUGCUUAACACAUGCAAGUCGAGCGGUAAGGCCCUUUCGGGGGUACACGAGCGGCGAACGGGUGAGUAACACGUGGGUGACCUGCCCUCAGCUCUGGGAUAAGCCUGGGAAACCGGGUCUAAUACUGGAUAUGACUCCAUGACGCAUGUUGUGGGGUGGAAAGCCUUGUGCGGCUGAGGAUGGGCCCGCGGCCUAUCAGCUUGUUGGUGGGGUGANGGCCUACCAAGGCGACGACGGGUAGCCGGCCUGAGAGGGCGACCGGCCACACUGGGACUGAGACACGGCCCAGACUCCUACGGGAGGCAGCAGUGGGGAAUCUUGCGCAAUGGGCGAAAGCCUGACGCAGCGACGCCGCGUGAGGGAUGACGGCCUCGGUGUAACUCUU